rnacentral:lncRNA from 1 species
CUGCCGAUCAUCCUUCAUAAGAAUGGAUUGUACCACUACUUAUAUGCCUUUGAGACCUCCAAAAGGAUCAUUCUAGAAAUUAUUUCUCAAAUGAUUACACCAUACAAAAAUUAAAUCAGAUGUUCAACACUUGAACAAUCUAAUUUUAGGACAAGCAUCUCAUGCUUUCCUUUUACUUCCUCUCUUUCUUUCUAUUUUUCUCUCCCUUUUUCUUAUCUUUUUUUCAAACUUUUUUUUAUCAUUUUUUUCUCAUUUCCAUACCUACUCUCAGCCA